rnacentral:tRNA from 1 species
GCCCGGGUGGUGAAAUUGGUAGACACGCUAUCUUGAGGGGGUAGUGACGAGAGUCGUGCCGGUUCGAGUCCGGCCCCGGGCACCA